GACGAACGCUGGCGGCGUGCUUAACACAUGCAAGUCGAACGGAAAGGCCUGCUUUCCCUUGUGGAUUGCGGGUACUCGAGUGGCGAACGGGUGAGUAACACGUGAGUGAUCUGCCCCCAACUUGGGUAUAAGCCUGGGAAACUGGGUCUAAUUCCCGAUAGGACUGCAGGGUGGUGCCUGUGGUGGAAAACGAUUUUCUAGUGGUUGGGGAUGAGCUCGCGGCCUAUCAGCUUGUUGGUGGGGUAAUGGCCUACCAAGGCGGCGACGGGUAGCCGGCCUGGGAGGGUGGACGGGCACAUUGGGACUGAGAUACGGCCCAGACUCCUACGGGAGGCAGCAGUGGGGAAUAUUGCACAGUGGGCGGAAGCCUGAUGCAGCGACGCCGCGUGGGGGAUGACGGGCUUCGGGUUGUAAACUCCUUUCGACCGAGAGGAAGCCACCUGGUUGGAAGGGUGGUGACGGUAGUGGUAGAAGAAGCACCGGCUAACUACGUG
rnacentral:rRNA from 1 species